rnacentral:pre_miRNA from 1 species
CGGGAUUUUGGGGGCGAGAUGUGCUGAUUUGUUUUAUCCAACUGGCCCGCAAAGUCCCGCU